rnacentral:rRNA from 1 species
GACGAACGCUGGCGGCGUGCCUAACACAUGCAAGUCGAACGGAAAGGCCCUGCUUUUGUGCGGUGCUCGAGUGGCGAACGGGUGAGUAACACGUGAGUAACCUGCCCUUGACUUUGGGAUAACUUCAGGCAACUGGAGCUAAUACCGGAUAGGAGCUCUUGCUGCAUGGUGGGGGCUGGAAAGUUUCGGCGGUUGGGGAUGGACUCGCGGAUCAUCGGCUUGAUGGAGGGGUAGUGUAAUACCAAGGCCAGGACGGGUAGCCGGGCUGGGAGGGGAACCGGACACAUUAGGAUGGGGAUACGGCCCAGACUACAACGGGAGGCAAGGGUGGGGAAGAGUGCACAAGGGGCUGAAGGCAGAUGCAGCAACGCCGCGUGGGGUAUGACGGCCAUCGGGUAGUAAUCCGCUGCCGCCUGAGACGAAGUGUUAGUGACAGUAAUGGGUGAAGAAGCACCGGCUAACUACGUG